rnacentral:rRNA from 1 species
AAGUCGUGCGAGAAAGUAUCUUCGGAUAUGAGUAGAGCGGCGGACGGGUGAGUAACGCGUAGGAAUCUACCUAGUAGAAGGGGAUAGCCCGGGGAAACCCGGAUUAAUACCGUAUACCUCCUUCGGGAGAAAGAAGGCCUCUCUUUGAAGCUUUCGCUACUAGAUGAGCCUGCGUAAGAUUAGCUUGUUGGUGAGGUAAAGGCUCACCAAGGCUACGAUCUUUAGCUGGUCUGAGAGGACGAUCAGCCACAUUGGGACUGAGACACGGCCCAGACUCCUACGGGAGGCAGCAGUGGGGAAUAUUGGACAAUGGGCGCAAGCCUGAUCCAGCCAUACCGCGUGUGUGAAGAAGGCCUUCGGGUUGUAAAGCACUUUAAGCAGGGAGAAAAAGUUAUAAGUUAAUAUCUUAUAACCCUGAUGUUACCUGCAGAAUAAGCACCGGCUAAUUCCGUGCCAGCAGCCGCGGUAAUACGGAAGGUGCAAGCGUUAAUCGGAAUUACUGGGCGUAAAGCGCGCGUAGGUGGUUUGUUAAGUUGGAUGUGAAAGCCCUGGGCUCAACCUAGGAACUGCAUCCAAAACUAACUCACUAGAGUACGAUAGAGGGAGGUAGAAUUCAUAGUGUAGCGGUGGAAUGCGUAGAUAUUAUGAAGAAUACCAGUGGCGAAAGCGGCCUCCUGGAUCUGUACUGACACUGAGGUGCGAAAGCGUGGGUAGCGAACAGGAUUAGAUACCCUGGUAGUCCACGCCGUAAACGAUGACAACUAGCUGUUGUAAGACAAUGUCUUUCAGUGGCGCAGCUAACGCUUUAAGUUGUCCGCCUGGGGAGUAC